rnacentral:sRNA from 6 species
GUGCACCUCUCGUACAUUCCGGUUCUAAGCACGUCGUCCACGCCCAGCUGACAACUGCGCGCGAGGUUUUGGUCGCC